AGCAGGGGGCGCGGGGGAUCACACAGAGAUCUGAGCCCUGGAAGGGCCUGUUCAGAGAAACAUAGAGGGCUGGACUCCUGUUACCUUCAAGGAUUCUCUCUACAGAGACCCAAGAACCCUGGUGACCUUCACUCUCUCCUUCAUCAUCACAAGAUAAGUGCACAUCAGACACAGGUGAGGAACUGGUAAGAAAAUGUGUGUGAAGCCCCAUCCUUGAGAGUCUGAGGACAACGCAGCAGUGACACCCACUGAGCUUCAGCAGCUGCAGGAAGCUCAUAAUCCACUCAACGGGUGACAGAAUCCUUCCUACGGCUUAUAUACGCCCUCCCCAGAAAACAUGCUAUGUAGUCCCUGUACUAAAAUCCAAGACUAGGUCCUUUAUCUGAAGCUCAGUGAAUUCAAGUUUGGAUCCUACAGAGAACUGGAAAAAAAUGAUGUUUCCUCACUGACAUGUGGAAUCCUAUGGAUGACAUCACUAUGAAAGAACAGGAUGUACAUCCAAGGACAGAUGCAUGGAUGUGAUGAAGAAGGAGCCUUCUGAUGAGGCCACACUCUGAGGUCAUGUGCUCCCCACCUUAUACCAUAGGAGUCUACAGAUCUGAGAACAGCAGUCUCAAUAUCAUAUUAACCAACAAUGUGCCCACCAUGAUUGUGAGAUCUGCCCUGAACAUAGCCUCCCUUUUGAGCCCACAUCAAGAGAACAUAUAUAGAUGGAAACUAUGCACAUAGGACUUCAUUCUGCUCAGGCAAACCAGUCCAACCUGGACCUGCAUCUCCAGCAGAGGACCCCAGUGUGAGAUUCCCAGGUCUGCACAUUCAAUGAUAAACACUGAACAAAGACCACUCACCAUGGAA